rnacentral:lncRNA from 1 species
UGAUUGGUACGUUAGUUUGAUCAUUAUCUUAGUUGUUUAGUGUUGGUAUGUUAAUCUAAUCUAAUGCCCUACUGUCCCCCUGAUCCUCUGAACCUGUAGUACUUUCUGAUUGUCUGCUCAUAUAUAUUCCUGCCUGCUACAUGUUUUUCCUCACAUGCUCCAUAUUUGUCCCUCUAAUCCCAUUCCCUUGCUUGUGUUUGCUGGACUAUUCUUGGUCCUUGGUGUGAUGCUGAUUUUGUUUUUGUUAUGAGAUUGGUAUGCAUGAUCCUUCAAAUUGUUUUCAUCAGUUAAACUUUGAUAUAAAAAUAUUUUAAUUAAGUCUCUCUUUUCAAAACUGUUUCUUACUUACCCUUUUUUCAAAAAUUGUUUUCUUACUUAAACUUUUCAAAACUAUGUGGAGCACUCUCACUCUACUCUUAGACACUAAGUUCUGCCCUUAUUGUGUGAGCAUUGCCUUGGGACCCUUAAGCUCCAUUUGAACUUUGACACACAAAAGCUGACCUUUUCAUACUGCACUUACUCUAUCUUGGCUAUGAAACCUGGGUGUGAGCACUGUUUGGGAGCCCUUGAGGUCCUUAGGGAACUCUGACACACCCGGAUUUUGAGAAAGGUUGUGCAACAAUACUUGGAAUUGAGGACCUGGAGACUUGGGCCUAUUCUGUAGGCUCCCUAUAAUUAACUUCUUAUUUUUUCUUUAUUUUCAGUUAUGUAAUUCUUAUUGAAAGGCCUGUAAUGAUUAUUUGUAAACGAC